UUGGCCAAAAAGUUCAUUCGGGUUUUUCAUAACAUCUUACGAAAAACCCAAACAAAGUUUUUGGACAA
rnacentral:miRNA from 1 species